CAGAGUGCGCUACUGGGCUCUAGGCGCGCGCGAUUGAAACUGCGUUUGGAGUAGAGGUACUGAAGUAACCUUUCUCAUGGAAAUUAAGCUGAAAUAUAGCGGCGUGGUGCGGGGAACAAAGAGAUAAAAGUUAUGGGGGAAAUAUUUGAAUGGAUUGAAAUCAAACGACACUACGGUAUAUCCAAGUCAUAAGGACAAUUUGGUAAUUCUUCAGUAAUUCCUUUCUCCGAUAAAAUAAACGGGGAAGAGCGUUCUCCUUCUGGUAGAGACAGUCUUGGGGCUUGGGGACUGACUAAAGUAAAAAUCCGUCCCAAUGUACCCCACCUUCCUUUGCGGCCGCUACGGCCAGCUGGAGAGCCACCUGCGAAUAACCCCCUCUCCUCCAACUUCCCCUUCCACCGACCGGCGGACUCUACGGCGGAGCUGGGCGGAGCGGAGCGCCCGGAGCUUGGACUUGGAGCCAUCAGUUUGGGAAUCACACUGAGCAGCGCCUCGCACCGCGCCGGCUCCCUGGUUGCCCUCUCAACCUCCGCGACACCUCCGCGACGCGCUUCAUGUCCCUCCGGCCAACUCCAUCAGCCUCGGGCUGUCCGGCCCGCGUGCCUCGCGCCCCCGCCCGCUUUGACUGCUCACCCGUCGCCCGCCGCUCGGAGUUGGAGCCCCGUCUCGCGUGCCGUCUCGUCAUCCUGCUGCCGCCGAGGCUCGGGCCGCGUAUCGGACUCUGGUUACCGUCGCAGCCGUGUCCCCACUCGCCUCCCCCAGAAGCUUCAUCGAAAUGCAAGUCCAUCAGGUUCAGUGUAAAGUGCAAAAUGGCCACAUAAGUGAAAGUGGAACAACGCGAAGCGUGCAAUGGCCUUGAAGUGAAGUGAAGUGUAGUGUAGUGAAGUGCAGUGUUGUUGAAGUGCUCAAGUCUGAAGCUCUCUGCGUGGGUGCGGCACCCGCGCCGCUGUCAUGUCGGCGCUGGACCUGGCGCCCCGCGACUCUGUGUGGCUGGCUGGCGAUCGACUCACGGUAGGACCCGUCUGUCUCAUCGGGGAAUAGUCAAAUAGGGCCUGAUGGCAGCUCAGCGUUAGGUCUCCCCAACUUCAUAGGUCCCUUUUCAUUCUUCAAAACGAUCACGAAACACAACUCAGGUACACAGCACACAGGAGGGAAUGACCAGCAACUGUCGUAUGAGACAAGCGUAAGGCGUUCUCGCGAGGCGAUAUCGGCGUGGACCGUUGUGGCGACGCGCAUCGACGCGGCCUGUACGGAAGAAUUAAUGAACAUUCGGAUUAACGCGGAUCAACGCGGCCUACGUAAACAAUGUUAAAGAUUCGGAUUAACGCGGAUUAAUUAACGACUGCCGCUCUAUUUACCUGGAAGAGAUUCGAAUGGUUGAUGUUGCAAUGCACCCCAUGACAGGUCAGGAAUCAGUCCCAUUUUACUGAGUUACAUUUUACAGUUGGCUUUGGUUUGCUUUUGUUUCUGAUUGUUAUCAUUGUCGACAGGAUGUCAAAGAUGUCUAUAUUGGCCUGCCGGCGAGAACAAGAUGCCACACGUCGGGCGCCGCUGGGCCACCCGGUGCUGGCCGCCCCCCUCCUGCUCGCCGCUCACCACCGCCCGUCUGCUCACCGCUCUCCACCGCCCGUCUGCUCACCGCUCACCACCGCCCGUCUUCUCGCCGCUCACCACUCACCACCCCCGGUCGCCACCCCUGCUCCUGUUUUCUCUGUUAGCAGGAUUUUCAGGUUCCAGUCCAGCCGUCGAUACGCCUCUCCGCGCACGCCGGCCCCCGCCGCAACUCAGCUGCCCAGCGGACAAGUACAACCGAACCUUCAAGCGGCUGGACGAACCCGAAUGCUGAUGCUGCAGCUCCUGGACGUGGUCGGCAGACUACAGCCCUGGCUGUCGAGACAGCCCAGCCUGCACCUACCCGACCUACCCACCACUCCGCUCAACUCAGACGCAGCCCUGCUGGAGCAUCACUACGUCACCACGGCCUCACCGCUAAGGGCCUCGCUCGCGCCUUCAUCGUCUGCAAGUAAGUGGGAGCUGACCGCAUCUUCUGUAGCUUCUACUUGGCUUGGUUGUUAAUUUGCAUAAAUGGUUUCAAUCUAAUGCUACUAUUGUACUUGUUGCAGAGCCCCCGUCCCGUGGGAGUCACACCUUCGUCUACAACUUUACCGCCCGCCCCGCCCAGGAAGUCUGCAGGACGCCCUUGCCGCCGACCCCGACCGUACCCGUUGGCCACCCCUCUGCUCGCCGCUGACCACCCCCGUUUGCCGCCCAUGCUCUUGCGGGCACUCCGUUUGUUACCGCCCAGAAUACGAAGGUUUCAGCCCGGCUGCGCCUCGCCCGCCGCCCCCCGCCGCCCCUCCCCGCGACUCAGCUGCCGAGCGGACGAGUGAAACUUGAAGGCCUCCAAGUGGGUGGGCGAACAUGAAUGCUGCAGCUCGUGCCUUGAAGUGACCCCGGUCAUUCCCUGCUGGCGUCUCUUCUCGGUUGCUGGCUGGUGCACCGCCCUGGACCGCAGCUGGCUGUGGGUUUGUUUCAUUGCCACCGUGGCAUAGCGAGGGCGAAGUGAUCGCUGCCCAACUGCACGUGUCUAAUAUACUUUGUUCUGUUUCGCUUUACGCCGCUGCCGCCUGGCCGUCGAGACGGCCCAAUCACCGCCUUGAACUCCGCUCGACCGGCACGCAGCCCUGGACCACGGCCUCGCCGCUGAGGGCCUCGCUCGCGCCUUCAUCGUCUACCUGGAAAGUCGCCAUGUGAGACACGCCUGCUCGUAGGUGUAGCCUCUGCUGCCACUGCAAGACCCUACGCCAGGACACGCCAGGACACGCCCCAUCUUGUCGAUUUGACCAUGGCAGUCUGCUACAAGGCCGCUUCGCUGUCUUCCUAAAGUUCUUGGUGACGUAGCGGGAAGCUGCUGGUCAAAUGCAUCAACAACUAUAGAGUCUCUCAAAUUGGAGAGAGUUCUCUGGAAGCCGCCACAUCUCUCCACAUUAAGGAUGCAUCUCUCCGAGGCUUAUGACAGGUCAGUUAUUUGAAUAUCUUCUAUUUAUUCCGAUGUGAAUAUCUCACUACUUUAUUCAAUGUACUUUUUGCUGUUGUGUCUGCCACUCUCUAUUCUGUAUUCGUACACUAAUUAUCUCUGUGAUAUAUUUAUUCAAAUGUAAGCCUUUUACGUAACUUUACUAAAACAUACUACAUAUAAGUACAGAAACCUAGCGAAGUCUAAUUUGAAAUGAAAGUGUUACAUCAAUGUGGAUUUUCGUUUUAAAACAUACUACAUUUUGGUAUUUAUGUUUCAGCCGACGUCGAACUGCUGCUCUGCAACCAAACGGAGUCAUUCCAUCUUCAAGUUUCAAGACAGCAAAAUUCCAUUUUCAAGUUUCAAGACAGCAUAAUUCACUUGUUAUUCUUCUUUGUACAAAUAUGAGACUUAGGGGCACAUGGUUACAGCGUUUAUGUUAUGUAUCAUUCCUGUCUUGCCUACUGGACUUUAUUGACAAUGACUUCUUCCUUCUGUCUUUGUAUGUACAAGCAUGAGCACUCACUUAUUGGUGGUUUCUGUUGAUAUUCUAAAUUUGGUGUUAGUUGCUUAUUUGCAUGUUUGGUUGUAAAGUUGUGUUCGGGGUAGUGUAAAUUCUGUGUGGUUUAUCUUUGCCUUGACUAAACGAGAAACUUGACACUUCUACCUCUUUCUCUUCAUCAAAACUAGUAUAAAAUUAUUCGGUUUACUUCAAUUGUACUUCAGUUUCUUAAUGUGUUUUAAUGUAACUGAAUCUUACAAGGAUCUAGUUUUACGCUACUCCUAGGUUUGUGUGGACAUCCCUGUCAUACUGAGUCCUCAAACUUUCAGUGAAGUUUCUAUGAUACCUGUAAAUUUCAUCACUUUGCUGACCGGCCGACUUGAUGUAAAUCAAUUUUUGCAAUUUUCUCAGUUAAAUAUACUAAAUAAUACCUGCUAUAUUUAUCUGUGGAACUUUAUUUGAAUUAAUGCCCUUUGCUUGUGCUUUCCACUCAUUGUCUGUGACUGCAGAGCAAGCUGUUGAUUUAAUAAAUUUCUUGCUAGAGAUCA